GGGAAUGUAGUUUAGCGGUAGAGUGCUUGCCUAGUAUGCAUGAAGCCCUGGGUUCGAUUCCUCAGUACCA
rnacentral:tRNA from 1 species